CCCAAAAAUCUGUGCAAUCAAUGUAAUGACUUCCAGCGAUGUUUCUCGCCACAAAGAAGGCUAUCAACGGUCAGUUCUUUGUAAAAACUAAUCGAUUUUCAA